AUCGAUGCUUGCUGAAGCUCUUGUGAUUGUGAAGGAUCUAUCCAGAGAUGUCCAAUUCAUUAAGAACAAUUUGGCUCAGAGUAACAUUACACCAGGUAGCACACAAGGACCAGCAAACCUUGUACUCCCCUUCCAGCUGCCAAUUGAAAGUGAAGAAGAUUUCAGUAAAGCAGAGUCAUUACUGAUUGAAGAGACAGUGCGUCAAAAGAUGAUUGCUCGACUGGCUCUAGUAGGAGGCACCAAUUCAGCCAACAUGAUAAGAAGAAUGUUGACAACUUGUAUGAGAAAUGCCCUGGCAAGUCAGUUCAACUGGGCUGGGAAGAAACAUAGGCAUUCCCAGAGUAAAAAGCCAUUCAAGGACACAAUCCUGCAAGAGUGCAUAUUAGUUGCUGCUCGUCAAUUCGAACCAGGCCUAACUGAUCAAAAUUACAGCGAAACAGUAAAGAAAUGGUUUCGCUAUGCACCAGACCGGGAGGGAGGCAUUGAAAGGCAA